GCCAAGCAAGUUUAGAUCUUGGGAGUUGUAGUUUUACCACAGCUGGAGUGCCAGAGGUUAGCCAUCACAAGCCUAGACCAUGUGACCAAUGAAUGUGACGUCACUGUCCCAGGAAGAGGCCAUGGCACUUAGGCAGCACUACAGUCCCUUUUAAUUGUCAGGGGUGCCGGGAGUCGGACCUCCACCGAUCAGGUAUUGAUGGUCUACCCUGAGAUAGGUCAUCAAUAUUAAAGGCCCGUUUAAAGAGGAUCUGUCGCCUCUCCUGAAUUGUCCAUUUUAGUAAAUCCUUGUGUUCAAACUGUGCUGCUCCUCUGUUAUUCUUCCUGCAAAUUUUAAAACCCAGCUGUCAACUUGUUUGCCAGUAGGACAUGUACAGAGCCUGACACAGUUAGGCUACUUUCACACCUGCGUU